UACGUAGGGGGCAAGCGUUGUCCGGAAUCAUUGGGCGUAAAGAGCGUGUAGGCGGCCUUUUAAGUCCUGCGUGAAAUCCUGCGGCUCAACCGCAGACGGUCGUGGGAAACUGGAAGGCUAGAGUGCGGGAGAGGAGAGUGGAAUUCCCGGUGUAGCGGUGAAAUGCGCAGAUAUCGGGAAGAACACCCGUGGCUAAGGCGGCUCUCUAGUACGGUACUGACGCUGAGACGCGAAAGCGUGGGGAGCGAACAGG
rnacentral:rRNA from 1 species